AGACGGGACCCGCACAAGCGGUGGAUGAUGUGGAUUAAUUCGAUGCAACGACGAAAACCUUACCUACCCUUGACAUGUCCGGAAUCCCGAAGAGAUUUGGGAGUGCUCGCAAGAGAACCGGAACACAGGUGCUGCAUGGCUGUCGUCAGCUCGUGUCGUGAGAUGCUGGGUUAAGUCCCGCAACGAGCGCAACCCUUGUCAUUAGUUGCCAUCAUUUGGUUGGGCACUCUAAUGAGACUGCCGGUGACAAACCGGAGGAAGGUGGGGAUGACGUCAAGUCCUCAUGGCCCUUAUGGGUAGGGCUUCACACGUCAUACAAUGGUCGGUACAGAGGGUUGCCAACCCGCGAGGGGGAGCUAAUCCCACAAAGCCGAUCGUAGUCCGGAUCGCAGUCUGCAACUCGACUGCGUGAAGUCGGAAUCGCUAGUAAUCGUGGAUCAGCAUGUCACGGUGAAUACGUUCCCGGGUCUU
rnacentral:rRNA from 1 species